rnacentral:lncRNA from 1 species
CAAAGCCUCAGUUGCCCCGGACGCCAGGCCCAGGUGUCAGCGUGUGGCAAUGGCAGCAGCAUGGUCUCCGUCCCCCUCAGGAUGAGCCUCCCAUGCUGGCCUACUCUGCCGGUCCACACACAAGGAGAACAGACCUGCUGAGACUGAGUAAGAUGUGAGGCCAGCUCGUUAGUGAAUGGGACCUGAUUCUACAGCCUGCCUCUGACUUGCUCUUUCUGCCUGAGUGUACCAGGCAGGAUGAUCACCACACUGCUUCCACCACGAUGCACACAAAUUAUAUCUGCCUCAAGAAGAAGAGUAAUUUCCUUUGUUUCUCUCACAAAAGCAGGCCAAAUUCCAAGCGGCUUGCGGAGGAGCAUCCACCCCGGAAGGCCGGUGGAGAGUGCUGCUGUUGAUGGAGGAGGAAGGGUCCCGGACCAGCAGUGCUAUCCACAGGGUACAGAAAAGCAAAAAAGGCCUCGUGCUGGAUGCUGGAUUUACUUUCUUGGAGAGAAAGCCCUGGGGUGACUUGGCAGGGGCUGUCACACAGUGACUACCAGGGCCACAUGAAGAGAUGUUAGAGGAAGGCAGAGAGGAUUUAAUAUCAAAACUCUAAACCCCUGAGCAGAAGGCAUGCAACCCAGGAGAUGCAAUCACUUUUAGAGUUUUUCAUUCGAUGCAGUUUGAAUAUCCAUUUUUUGUCAUUGGCAGAUUUUAUUAAGCAUCUCCAAGAACAAGGAUACCUUUAAUCAAAGACCGAAACCUGGAAUAAUGCUUUUUUUAAAGUAUCUGUCUCAAUCUUUUGGUCCCGAGGGUAAAACGCCGGGCUCCUUGCCAUGAUUCUGGGUCACCACUUUCUUCUGCACUUGUGCCGCAGAGGCUGAGGGAGACACUCACCUCCCACGCACCACCUCAGGGAGCUCACAAGUCAAGGAGGCCACUGCCACUGUGGUAAUUUGCAGAGUAGGCCAUCUCAUGCCUCAGAGCCAGCAGGUGAGGGCCACCACUUGAC